UACGAGGGGGGCAAGCGUUGUUCGGAAUUAUUGGGCGUAAAGGGCGCGUAGGCGGUUUGACAAGUCUGAUGUGAAAUCUCUGGGCUCAACCCAGAGUCUGCAUUAGAAACUGUCUGGCUUGAGUAUGGGAGAGGUGAGUGGAAUUUCCGGUGUAGCGGUGAAAUGCGUAGAUAUCGGAAGGAACACCUGUGGCGAAAGCGGCUCACUGGACCAUAACUGACGCUGAGGCGCGAAAGCUAGGGGAGCAAACAGG
rnacentral:rRNA from 1 species